AACAAGGUUUCGUGACGGACAUACCACACAAGUGGAAAAAAUUUGAUGUGGACGCCUUCCACUGUCCAUAUUGCCCAUAGAGGGACGGGUUUGCUGUGCUCCUAGCUCACUUGCAGGGUCAUCUGAGGUCCCUUGUGAAAUAUGGAGGCAACAGUCCAAGCCCUGGCAGCUGUACACUGUGUAUCCCUUGAGUAGGCCAAGGAAAUAUACAAACCAGGACUAGAGUAUGACUGGAGUGAGAAACAACUGCUUGCCCACCAGCUCACCAAGAACCUGAGUGAAGAAGACCAAGAAAGACUUAAACAGUUUGAGGACAAUUUUCAAAAAGCUCUGCAUUCUGAGGAGUUUUUGAAUAG